rnacentral:rRNA from 1 species
UUGUUGGAGAGUUUGAUCCUGGCUCAGGACGAACGCUGGCGGCGUGCUUAACACAUGCAAGUCGAACGCUGAUCCGGU